GUAAAACUUCUGUUGUUAAAGAAGAACAUAUCUGAGAGUAACUGUUCAGGUAUUGACGGUAUUUAACCAGAAAGCCACGGCUAAUUACGUGCCAGCAGCCGCGGUAAUACGUAGGUGGCAAGCGUUGUCCGGAUUUAUUGGGCGUAAAGCGAGCGCAGGCGGUUUUUUAAGUCUGAUGUGAAAGCCUUCGGCUCAACCGAAGAAGUGCAUCGGAAACUGGGAAACUUGAGUGCAGAAGAGGACAGUGGAACUCCAUGUGUAGCGGUGAAAUGCGUAGAUAUAUGGAAGAACACCAGUGGCGAAGGCGGCUGUCUGGUCUGUAACUGACGCUGAGGCUCGAAAGUAUGGGUAGCAAACAGGAUUAGAUACCCUGGUAGUCCAUACCGUAAACGAUGAAUGCUAAGUGUUGGAGGGUUUCCGCCCUUCAGUGCUGCAGCUAACGCAUUAAGCAUUCCGCCUGGGGAGUACGGCCGCAAGGCUGAAACUCAAAGGAAUUGACGGGGGCCCGCACAAGCGGUGGAGCAUGUGGUUUAAUUCGAAGCUACGCGAAGAACCUUACCAGGUCUUGACAUACUAUGCAAAUCUAAGAGAUUAGACGUUCCCUUCGGGGACAUGGAUACAGGUGGUGCAUGGUUGUCGUCAGCUCGUGUCGUGAGAUGUUGGGUUAAGUCCCGCAACGAGCGCAACCCUUAUUAUCAGUUGCCAGCAUUAAGUUGGGCACUCUGGUGAGACUGCCGGUGACAAACCGGAGGAAGGUGGGGAUGACGUCAAAUCAUCAUGCCCCUUAUGACCUGGGCUACACACGUGCUACAAUGGAUGGUACAACGAGUUGCGAACUCGCGAGAGUAAGCUAAUCUCUUAAAGCCAUUCUCAGUUCGGAUUGUAGGCUGCAACUCGCCUACAUGAAGUCGGAAUCGCUAGUAAUCGCGGAUCAGCAUGCCGCGGUGAAUACGUUCCCGGGCCUUGUACACACCGCCCGUCACACCAUGAGAGUUUGUAACACCCAAAGUCGGUGGG
rnacentral:rRNA from 2 species